rnacentral:rRNA from 1 species
UCAAGCGACUAAGUGUAUGUGGUGGAUGCCUUGGCGAUUACAGGCGAAGAAGGACGUCGCAGCCUGCGAAAAGCCGUGGGGAGCUGGCAAGCGAGCACUGAUCCACGGAUGUCCGAAUGAGGGAACUCACCCGCAAGGGUAUCUUGAAGUGAAUACAUAGCUUCAAGAGGCGAACGCAGCGAACUGAAACAUCUAAGUAGCUGCAGGAAAAGAAAUCAACCGAGAUUCUGAAAGUAGCGGCGAGCGAAAUUGGAAGAGCCUGCAAGUGAUAUUGAAUUCGAUACUGGAACGGUCUGGAAAGUCCGGCUACAGAGGGUGACAGCCCCGUACGGGAAAUUGGGUUCAAGGUACUGAGCUUGCGAGAAGUAGAGCGGGACACGUGAAAUCCUGCUCGAAGAUGGGGGGACCAUCCUCCAAGGCUAAAUACUCGUAAUCGACCGAUAGCGAACCAGUACUGUGAAGGAAAGGCGAAAAGAACCCCGGGAGGGGAGUGAAAUAGAUCCUGAAACCGCAUACAUACAAACAGUAGGAGCCCGCAAGGGUGACUGCGUACCUUUUGCAUAAUGGGUCAGCGACUUACGUUCAAUGGCAAGCUUAACCGAGUAGGGGAGGCGCAGCGAAAGCGAGUCCGAACAGGGCGACAUGAGUCGUUGGGCGUAGACCCGAAACCAGAUGAUCUAUCCAUGGCCAGGCUGAAGGUGUGGUAACACACACUGGAGGACCGAACCGACUAGUGUUGCAAAAUUAGCGGAUGAGCUGUGGAUAGGGGUGAAAGGCUAAACAAAUCUGGAGAUAGCUGGUUCUCCCCGAAAACUAUUGAGGUAGUGCCUCGUGUAUGACUCCAGGGGGUAGAGCACUGUUAUGGCUAGGGGGACAUGGCGUCUUACCAAACCAUGGCAAACUCCGAAUACUUGGAAGUUUGAGCACGGGAGACAGAGCACCGGGUGCUAACGUCCGGACUCAAGAGGGAAACAACCCAGACCGCCGGCUAAGGUCCCUAAUAUUGACUAAGUGGAAAACGAAGUGGAAAGGCUAAGACAGUCAGGAAGUUGGCUUAGAAGCAGCCAUCCUUCAAAGAAAGCGUAAUAGCUCACUGAUCGAGUCUUUCUGCGCGGAAGAUGUAACGGGGCUAAGUCAAUAACCGAAGCCGCGGAUUCACACUUAUGUGUGAGUGGUAGGGGAGCGUUCUGUAAGCCUGCGAAGGUGACUCGUAAGGGUUGCUGGAGGUAUCAGAAGUGCGAAUGCUGACAUGAGUAACGUUAAAGCGGGUGAAAAGCCCGCUCGCCGUAAGCCCAAGGUUUCCUGCUCUACGUUCAUCGGAGCAGGGUGAGUCGGCCCCUAAGGUGAGGCUGAGAAGCGUAACUGAUGGGAACAAGGUUAAUAUUCCUUGACCACCGCUGAAUGCGAAGGGGGGACGGAGUAUUGAAGAUCAUCCGGGUGUUGGAUAUCCCGGUUUGCGAGCGUAGGAGGCUGACAGGCAAAUCCGUCAGCGAAUCUCCGAGGCAAAGCAUCGAGCUCUCUUUUGAGCGAAGUGAUUGGAUGUGCUUCCAGGAAAAGCCUCUAAGCUCCAGUUCAGCGGGACCGUACCGCAAACCGACACUGGUGGGCGAGCUGAAUAUGCUCAGGCGCUUGAGAGAACUCAGGAGAAGGAACUCGGCAAAUUGACACCGUAACUUCGGGAUAAGGUGUGCCUUUGUAGCGUGGAGGGAGAAACACCCCGAGCGCGAAGAGGUCUCAGAUAAUCGGUGGCUGCGACUGUUUAUUAAAAACACAGCACUCUGCAAAGACGAAAGUCGACGUAUAGGGUGUGAUGCCUGCCCGGUGCUGGAAGAUUAAUUGAUGGGGUGCAAGCUCCUGAUCGAAGUCCCAGUAAACGGCGGCCGUAACUAUAACGGUCCUAAGGUAGCGAAAUUCCUUGUC